AUUUAGGUAGCUUAAAUAUAAAGCAUAUCUCUGAAGAAGAUAAGACGGGACUCCCCUAAAUA
rnacentral:tRNA from 1 species